CUUUGCUUCUUGCUGUACAGACCACUACCACACCAGCUGGCUAGGUUGCUCUAGAAUGGUUUAAGUAUAAAUCCACUGGAUGCAAGAGCCUUGGCUGGGACGGUAACUGUGGAGGACAUAUGAGAAAGUUACUACUACUAUGCAAACUUUAUAAACUAAGAAAUGGAAGCAUAAGGAAAAAGAAGUAACUGUACCAUGUUUACAGUUUUCUGAAUGGUGCAGUAUACAAACAGCCUGUGGAAGCCACCAGAGUGGCUCAUCUGUUCUUAGUGAGGAUGGGUUCCACAUCUGGUCUGUGUCUCUACUGUUACUGUUACUGUGGUCAUACUGUUACCAUUAUCAAUAAUGCUCAUAGCUACCACCAAAGCCGGUUGCUCUGGUAAGUUCUUUGUAUUAAGU